rnacentral:rRNA from 1 species
UACGUAGGGUGCGAGCGUUAAUCGGAAUUACUGGGCGUAAAGGGCUCGUAGGCGGCCAACUAAGUCAGACGUGAAAUCCCCAGGCUUAACCUGGGAACUGCGUCUGAUACUGGAUGGCUUGAAUUCGGGAGAGGGAUGCAGAAUUCCAGGUGUAGCGGUGAAAUGCGUAGAUAUCGAUAGGAACUCCGGUGGCGAAGGCGGCACACUGGACCACCACUGACGCUGAUGCGCGAAAGCCAGGGGAGCAAACGGG